CAGUCUGCUUUACUGCAAGGGACAGAGACUGAUGUGUCGUUGGGCCUCUGCACUGUACGUCUCCACAGCUGUAGAUUUAAAUGUGAGAUUUGAGAUGUCCACCCUGUGAGCCCUUGGCCUGCCCAACCUGUCACCAUGACUUCAACUCUAAGACUUGAGUCAUGAGCCAUCGCUCCUCAUCUGAGUGCAUAUGUUACCACUGACCUUUAUAGGGCAGGCAUGAUGGUAACAUUUCUCCUGACAGCAUGCUAACAUUUUGCAUGAUUUAUUUGCUUACCAAUGGUGUCCAUCUUUUCCUGCCCCUAAGAUACAUCAAUAAAAUCCAGCAUAUACAGUGAAAAAUCCAUCCUAUAAGGCUUUGGAGGUGUCAGUUACACAAUUAAUGUCUUUCCUACAUGAAGAACUGAAAACAAUAGACAUUUUCACGAUAAUACAACUGUUUUUCUCAGCUUACUGAAGUGCAAAUGGCAUGCAUUUGUGCUGCUAACUAAUAUGAAACAUGUGCCACCAUGUUAGAAGUUUCAGGACAAUGCUAUCGUUGUGAAUAUAGCUGUUGCAGAUACAGUCAUUUAGGGUUACCAUUAAAACAAACUGAUUGUUUAAAAUUUUAAGCAUUACAUGUGAGCAGGUUGAAAUAAAAAAGCCAGUUAUGUUUGUUCAAAUACUUCAAUAUCUAUUAAUUUUAAAAUGGGCCUUUGAUUUAGAAAUGUGUACAUUGACAAAAAAAAAUUACAGUUGCUCUAUACUUCUGUUAAUAUAUAAUUUAUAGCCCAAACAGGGCUUGAUACUAACUUUUACACAGGUUAAAAAGUAAGGAGCACACAAAGAACUUCAGGGGCACAAUGAAAAUUGAUCAAAUAAUGUGUGUCCUCUUGGUCGACACAAGUACUAUUAUUAAAAAACAUUUUUGGUCACAUGACAUGGAAGCUAUUGAAGAUAAUGUUCAAAACUUGCCUUUAAAUUUAACACAAAAAAAUUUAUGAGGACAAAUUAGGGAAAUAGAGUGUGUCUUAAUGGUCGACAUAAAUACUAUUAUUUGAAAUUGAUUUUAAGUCAAUUGGUCACAUGACAUAAAGGAAAACAGCCUUUUCUGAGAACACCAACCAGUAAUUUAUUGACGGUCCCUUAUUUGACACCCAACGUUGACAGCGAGGAUGCUGAGAAGAUUUAACUGCGCUGCUGUUGCUAUUCGCGGUUAUAGAGUGAGAAGACACCGGUGGAUCCACAGUGAAUGUCCGUCGAAUAUCCAACCUAAAACUAACUUCACUGCGUUAUUUACAUGAAAAAACAUUUGUUGCCCCGGCCAAUUUUUUUAUGCACGCAUGUGCCCCUAAAUACAUGUGCAAUUUGCACACAUCUAUUUUUAGUCGCAAAUGGGAGUAAAACAGUCUCACUGUCGAGCCCUGCCAAAACAUAUGAAGUGCUUCAUCCCAGAAUAAUAAAAAGGCUUAUAGUGUCAUAUUGUGUCAUAUCUUGUCAAAUGCUGUGUAUUGUCAUGAUAAUUUCAGGUAUAUGUCCCGGUGUAAGUUACUUAGAAGCCAAUGAGAAUAUAGAUUGUUUACGUCUACAAUGCUGGGCAUGAUAGUUCUAACAUUUAGUGCAAACAUGGCUGCUGGCGGUGUUUCACUGGGCUAGUUCUAUGUGUGAGGCAGAAUCUGGUUUGCGGCUUUAGAGCAAAUGACCUCGCCCUAUUUCUUUUUCUGCCCCCAGCCUCUGUAGCUGCUGUAUCCUGGCUCUGUGUGUCCAGUUCAAGGCAAUCUGGCAGGUGGAGUUAGAGAGGAGCACAAUGUUGUCAAACAGAAAUCAGAUUUGCUCCACUCUCCAUUAGCCUUAGCCCCUUCACUCUCCCCUCUGGAGAUCACAUUAAAUGACAUCUGCUAUCAUCAGGAUAACCUGUGUCAGCUCCGUGACAGGACUGCAGAUGCAGGGCCACAGAUUGCAAGGAAGUGGAGGAAAGAGAGGAGCGAUAAAGGAGAUCCAGCUAGCUUAGGAGUCUUCAGACUUACAUUAGGGCUUGUUAAAUCAGUCCCAGAUUAUAAUUAACAUAUAAAUCGAUGCUGGUUCAUAAACCAGGCAUGGUACAGUGAAGAACAGCUUUAUUCCAGUGGGAGGAUGGAGAAGGAGGAUGCAUUCAGGGUGACUAGCUCCAGCUCAUAUCACUGUCCUAAUAGCAUUCUGCAGGACAUGGUAAAUGUGAUCAGGAAUCAUGCAUGUUUCACAGGAGCAUCUCUGGGAAAUGUGGUGGGUUUCCACUGCCAGGCUUGGCCUGAUAAGGGAGUCCAGUGAAUGACAGCAGCCUGAGCGCUUGUCAAAAGUAUCGAUGCGUGACUCGUUUCUACAGCAUCAGCCACAACCAAAUAGCUCCCCUUAUCUCCUGACAGUACCAUUUGGAGGACUCGCACUCUUCUAUCUGUUAUUUUCCUCCCUCCUUUCAUUGCCAUUGCCCCGCCUCUUUCCUUUGGCAGUACAAACAGGCUACUGCUGUUGACUCGGAAAUGAUAAGAUGAGCCUCUUUGUCACACGCUUCUUCAGCUUCCACUUCCUUUGAAGCAGCUCCACUUUGUUGCCUGUUUCAACAUCUGUUUCCGUCUUUUUUCGGCCUCUCAAAGGACUGUUUAUGUCAUUCCACCUCUUUAACACCAAUUACCAUCUAGACCAAGCAGGUUCUCUCUUUGAAAACAUGCACGCAGCUUCUGUUGAAGCAUCCAAGCUGCUAACCUCUUGAAGCCCUCUUUCACAAGCCCUUCAUGCAAACGCUCCCUAAUGGUAUUUAUUGUGCAGUAUAGUAUGCAUGCUUUGUGACUCUUCACUGAAUAUAACACUACCUCCAGGCUUCUGUCCAACACGCUCCCAUUGAGUACUAAUCAUCUGGCAGAAUUUGAAGUCUGCUUUUCUGGAGGAAAUCAUUAUAGAGCCUCACAGAGAAGCAGCCUCCAAACAGUCAGGCCCAGAUAUUGUUGGACUGAGGCGUCUGCACAGGCGCCUGAUUAAAAAAGAAGCAUGGGCAUUAAUUGGCCAGCUGAUGUUAGGUUGUCAGCAGUAGCUGAUGGCUCAUUAUGCUUCUUGAGCAGUGUAGAAGGAGGAUGAGAGUUGAGCUCGCCCCCUCACUCAUCUCGUUUUGGCCAUCCUUAAACCGAGCCCACCCUGUAAUUUCAGCAUCAACACAUCACUCAAAGGGUCUGGAGUAUUAGAUAAAUAGAAUCUGUCAGUCCCAUGAAUGCAGACUUGUAGAGGCCAGGAUGGGGAGAUGGGUAUGAUUGUGCUUGUGUGUGUGUGUGUGUGUGCGCGCGCGUGUGUGUGUUUGUUUAUGAAGCAGGGAUUCAUGGGGACAGUUUGCUUGGCUAAUGGGGUUGGCGGGCAGCACAGUGCUCUCUCAGGCGAACAGCUAAUUAGCAGCAGCAGAUGAGAACAUGGUGAGUGUGUGUCCAGGAUCCAGAGACACACUGCUCAACCAACCAGGAACACGCCGUCACCCCUCUGCCCAAUCAGCGGCCCUGAGCUGAGAUCUCCCUUCCUUGUUUAGUGUCCAUUCAGCCAAUAGUGCGACUCUUUAACCUUUGUCGGACUCUUCCGCCUCUCCGGAGAAGCUUCCAUUUACCAUGGCAACGACAUGUGUCAAACGGCUACUUAGCCCUGAGGGAAUCUCACAAAAACGGAAUCCAUCAAGUUCAGGGUCAUUUAACGUUCAUUCCCCAUCACCGCCACUGCAGCUGCAGAUGAACAAUUGGAGAGCGAGGAGUGUCCUUGAGAUGGAAUUGAGAUUUUUGUGCAAUAAGGAAGUGUGUGGGAGCACAAAGGCUGAAUCUCUUUGGCAGCACAUGGCCAUGAUGGACACCUUUCUUUACAUGAGCUACAUGAGACCUUGGAGCUCUGAGCGGAAAUAAUCUUUCAGAGUUUUGCGACUGGCAUGUGUAGAAUUUCCCCUAAUAAAAGAUAAAAUAUAAUCCAAAACGGCAUCUUUACACCAACCUCUGGCAUUUCGGCAGAUUUAAGCAGUUAUUAAAUUACUGUUUGAAUUUCUUCUUGAAUCUGAAAUACCGUGCUGUCAUUGCAAAGAGCUGUCAGGUCAUGUCUCAGCAUCUUUCAGAUAGUAAUUAUACUGACUCAAGGGCGAAAAGGUGGGAUCUAUCUCAUAUUUCCUGUGUAACCAUGGCAAUGACUUUCCAAGACUGAACAGUUUGUGCAGACCAGCGUCUGCCACAGAAAUACAUCACUGUUUUCCGGAAAAAAAAAGAGGUGGAUAAUGCUGCCGCUGGAGGUUGUAAUUGCAGUGAUUGUUAUUGCCAUAAUCAUAAAGAUCUUUGGCAGACGAAGAAAUGAGGGGAACUCAAAGUCAUGCUUUUUGUAAAUAGUGCCAGGAGUUUUAUUGUUUUUUUGUUUUUUUAGUCCUAGUCAUCCUUUUGACAGUUACUACACUGACAGCUAUGAUAUGGAUGAGGACUGCAACACAGGACCUUGUCUUUAAAGCUCAUCUAUCAUUCAUCAGAGGUUAGCUCAAGUAAGUCUGAAAAUACAGGGGUAUAAUCUCUCAAGGGUGACAUACAAAAAUGUUGCAGAGCAUUUUUGAACAGCAUCUGGACAUCUGCUCUUCACUUUAAAGGGAGAUUUAUUUUUUGGCAGGGGAGGUUGUAUGUACUAUUCAGCAGUAGAAAACAUAUUAACCCGUUACUGACAGACCAACCAGAGAGCUGUAGUGGAAGCUAGGCUAUCAACUGCUACAGAUUCGGUCCAUUUUAACACUUUUUUAUAGUAAUUUUUAAAAAGUGCCAAUCUAACAUUAAAGCUCCUGCGAGGAACUUUCAGUGUGUGUCAGUUUUGGCGCUCCCUGUGGCCAAAAAGCAACACUGCUUUGCCUCUUUGCAAUGUGAAAAUUAUAAGAAUAGGGUUAUUUCUCAAAGCUGACACCUACCCCUUUAUACUGGUUUGAUGCAUGAAAAUUUUCAAAUCAAAAGUUGCCAGUCUUGUUAAUCAUGGUCUUGUUUACUAUUGUAAAUCAAUAAAAAACAUAAAUUUCAGUCCACUUAUAAGUUUAAAAAAAGUCCUUACAGAAGCUUUAAUGUCAGUGUGAGUAAACAUUAUAGGUGCAUUUUGACCACAGAAACUAGGGUCUGAAUUUAGUUCUGAGGUGGAAGAUUUACCCUUUGAAAGUCCCUGCUCAGGUGGUGCUACUGUGUCAUGGCUUUGGGACUUAAGGGGGCAGGGCCUGAUAUAUACACAUCAAAACAACAGAUUGUUAAUUUACAUUAUAAUGCUGUUUACACAGACACACACAAAAAGUAAGAAACCCUGGAGUGGUACUGGAUCAUAUCCUACAAAACCUAAUGUUAUUGAAUCUGUAUUUGUUUACCCAGUUGUUGUUGUGUUGUUUGGGUAAUAAGUCCUGAAAAUGUUUCAGCUAACCCAAAUUCAACAUAUUGUCAAUGGGUUUUAUCCUUAUGCAAUUGAAAAUAUAGUCAAAAUCUUACUUUGAAGAUUCACUUUUCUAGUUUUCUCAUUAAACUCUUAAUGGGGGAGUAGUACAUGCUGUGAUUUUGACACAAAAUUUGUACUGUCUCUAGUUAAAAAAAAAAGAAAUACACCCAAUUCCCUAUUUAGCUCCCCUCGUCACGUACAACAUGCUCCUCAAACACCUGAAUUUAAAAAUUCCUGUCACUUCUUUCUCUCCGGUUCCUAACUUUUCUCUUGUUCUCCAUCCCUCUCAUCUUUUCUACAAUCUCAGUAAAAAGAGCACAGUUGAAAAGGUUAGACUUCUCGCUGUCCUGUGAAAGAAAGGCAUAAAUUUUGAACUAAAUCUAAAGAAUAAAAAACCUUGGUUUGUUGCAGCUCCAACAUUUCGUGGCUGAUAUUGUAAGUUGAUGAAAAAGAAUUUGAAAUUUCAGUCAAGAUUAGAUCUCACAUCGGUACAUUAACCAAAUGAUGCACGUAAAAAUGUGAUUGAUCUCUGAAUAGUUAAACAAAGAUGGAUAGACAGUAUCUCAAGCCUAGAAAAUAAAGUAGGGUACACGUCAGACCUUCCCCAACAGGGUUCAGUCUGUGACACUAAGGGGAAACACAGAGCAGAGUUGUCGUCACACAGCGUACAUACUGUACACCUCAUCUAUAUAUAACCAGCAGAGAUCCUGAUGUAUAUUUCAGCAGUGAAAGCAUCUUGAUGGUAACUUUCCCAGCACAGCGGUCAAAGCAGUUCAACAAUGCAUCACCCAGCAUGUCACCUAAUCAUGAAGCCCGGUUUUCACUCCCCUCCUGCUCAUGCACUACAGGGUGAAAAUCAGAGCUGCUUCAUCUGCCCGCAAGACAGAGAGAAAGAAGCACAUUUAUUAUACAUAGUAUAUGUGGCUGUGCCGAAUGAACCGACCAUGGGAAAUUGGACACAUUUUAGCUCUGAUGCUUGCCUGUCUCCAAGGGGAGCCAAUUACCAUGUUUCUCCUUCAAAACCGGCGAAAAUAACCAAAAAUUCCUCCAUCGUCCCCUGAGCACAAGCAAGGAGCUCUGAGAAAAAAUGUCCUCUUGUUCCUCAUUCUGUUAGCCCUACGGACACUCACUGAAAUCACACGUCCGCUGUAUUCAUUACCUGCUAACGACCCUCCAUCCCUCAGAGACCGUGAGGAGAGAAAAAAGUGAGGGUGAGCGGGGAGAGGGGAGGGUUUAAAGGUAAGAGAAGUACAGAUAGCAGGGACAUGGGGAGGCCCAUCAUCAUGGAAGAUGGAUGUUCCCCAGGAGCAGGUGAUUUCCAGACUGGAACAGUGAACAUUGGAAACAUGGAAAUAUCCGACAUGGCUGGUUACUUCAGGUCGACAGUGGCUCAGGAGUGUCCAGAGAAUCUGGCGCUGAAAACUGGACUGCCCACACACCUGCUCUGACCUUCACCUCGGGUUGAAAACUCAACGAGCAGGUGCUUAGCCUAAUGUUUCGAAUCAGAGAACAUUUUUAUGUUUAAUUAGAGGGAACAUGAGCUGAAUUUACCGAUCAAUUUCACCAAUUUACCAACAGCAGACUGCAGCGGUAUGAAGAUGGCUGCUUUUGGCUUCAGGGUCGUAUUUCUAGUGAAUCAUCCCAGCUUUGGUACAAAAUCAUGUUUUGUUAACUGCUUCUGGUUUUGGCUGUGGAAAAUAAAACCAAUCUUACUGAUUAGAUGACGGAGAAUUGUCACAGUGGCGUGGCAUCACCCACUCAAGUUUGGCAUUUUACCACCAUCAUGUUGGCUCUCUGGAACCAGAAGUUACCAUGUGCAGGAGAGAAGGAAAAGUUACUGAACCAGGAUAGACAAUACCCUUGACUCCAUCAUUUGCAGGUGAAUGAGCAUAUUUGAGUUUCCCAACAGGUGAGAUUGUGUUUGUGAUAGAGGUUUUACAACUUAUUUUUACCUGAUGCCAAGUUUUUCAAAAUUGUAGAUGCAGAAAGGAAGACACUAGUGCACAAAGAAAAUUGUAUGUGAUGGAAACAUAACAAGCAUUCCAACAGUGAGAAAUCACACUCCUUAUUCUAUCAUGUUUUAUCUGUACAAAAAGAGAAAAUAACAGCAUUGGAGGCCAGCCCCCUCUGCAAAUAUUUGACUGGUUGACAAUUGUCCACUAGAGAUUAAAGUAGUCGAUGAGUUGGUGAAACCCCCCAUUUGUUGAGAACUUCUUAAUAAAAAUUCGGGCCCUUGCAUUGAUUGCAGGACAGGAUCUUGUUCCACUUUCCCUACUUGUUGGUUGGGCCCAGUGGCUCCUCAGGCUGCCCCCAUAUCUUUACUCAUAAUGCAACAGACCAUAGUUAGUCUGUGAUCCAGUCAGGAUAAUGUUGUCUGGGUAGAAUUAGGCUUUUAAAAAGACUUUGACGAACAGUGUAUGAAAAGCCCUGUCAUUGAGAUUCAUGGAGAGGACAGUGAAUAGAAUAAGAAACAAUUAGAGGCAGUGGCAAGUGACAUGCAGGAAAGGAUCCACAGGCUGGAAGCAACCCCAAGGCCGACGGCUUGAGGCAUAACCUCCAUAUAUGAGGCACACACCCAGACCACUAGGCCAGUGGCCCCCUUUAUAUAAUUGAUUUUUUGAAGUUGAUCCAAAAAAGGGGAAUCAAACUUUGUCCUUCAACCUAUGAAAUAUUUGUCUGAGUGUUUGUUGAAAUGUUCUUAAAUUACCAUAUUUUUCGGACUAUAAGGCGCAUUUAAAAUCCUGAAAUUUUCUCAAAAAUUGACAGUGCGCCUUUACUCCAACGCGCCUUAUGUAUGAUUACUUCUUGUACUUACUGAUUGAAUUUAUGUGGUAAUAUGCGCUGAAAAAUCUGUCGAAAUGUGUAAGUACAACUUUGGUAAGCAACGAAGCCGCCCCGCUCAUUAGAGCGUUACGGUACUCUGUAGCUGCGUCCGAAUUGCCAAGUAGUAGUCGAAGUAGUAGUCGAAGUAGUAUCUAGCAUGUCCGAAUUGGCCACCGGAGCGAGUAGCAUGCUACUUCAGAUACUACUUCAGAUGCUAGACACGCCCACAUUGUAGGUUGGUCUCGGUGCAUCCUACGGGCAUGCUACUGACCCAAAAUGCACUGCGGGCUUCUUCUUCGUCCUCUUAAAAGUUGUAGAAGCGCAUGUGAUGCUAGCGCCACCAGCUGAUUUAAAAGUGUCGCGAACGCCGGCUGGCCACAGCAGCGCGCACCAUGUCGGAGCAGCAGCAGCAGCAGGCGGGGCCGCAGCAGUACAGAUGUAAGUUUCAUGUAACUUCACACACUGUCCUAAAAAAUGUGCGGUUGUAUCUCUUUGUCAUGUCAUGGUGUCAUAUUUGCCCAAGUAAUCAUUUUAUGAGCAAGUGGCGACAUCAUGGAGGUAAAGCUCACUUAUUCCAUCAUUAAACUGCACAGCUGCAGUACUACAGCCAGGCCCGCAGAUGAGGGGCUUCAGUUACCACUGUCUGCACGGGCGCAGUACCUACUCUCUGCCUGCGGGGGUCGUCUUUCCCCACCGCUCGUCUAGUGUGUCCGAAUUGGGCCAACGUUUUUAGUAUGUAGGAGUAGGAUCUAGCAGUAGCACGUAGCAGUAGCAUGUAGUAUCCGAGCGGGCAGUUCGGACGCAGCAUGGGUCACUUUCUGAUCUGCCCUGUAACAGGACCCCUGAGCAGGCUACAUGACUGCCUGACUAUAAUGUCUAAACUAGGAGUGCAGAGUAUGUGCAAGCAACAAUAAACCAAUCAAUGCGCCUUACAAUCCGGCGCACCUUAUGCGUGAACAUAGACACAUUAAUUCACAUUGUGCCAUAUAAUCCGGUGCACCUUAUCAUCUAAAAAAUACGGUGACUGCCAAUCCAACCAAAGAUCCGAUUACACCAACCAAUAAAUAUAUGUGUGAGAAUUUGAACAAGCUACACCCGUUACUUUGUGCAAGAAUAUCAAUACAACACUAAAAUUUCACCCAUGCUAAAAUCCUCGCCUCCGUGGACAUAUUGCCCACAUAUAGGAGAAAGAGAAACGAGCUGCUAGAAUUAACUGCUUCUUUUGCCAGGCUUUAAACACACUUCUGCUGUAAAACAUGUUACAGGAUCCAAAAUGAGACAUACUUUUUACGCCCAUAACAAAAAUAUUAGCCACUUGUGCACUCGUGUCUCUGAAGUCAAACCACCACAGAGGGCUGACUGUAGUACUUUGAUUUCCUAUAUCAUUAGGUGACCAAGUUUCAAGAGCAAAAUGCUUUUUUUUCUUUUUUGCAUUGGGUUGACUCACUCCUGUUCCCCACAUAAGGAGAUAAGGUGGGUGUUCAGUGCGACAUGAUGAAAUGAUUGUGUCCUUUCUGUAAGAGGUCCUUAGGGUGACUCAGACAGAGACAGAUGAGUAUUUAUGGUUCAACUAUCUUUCUUUUUCGUUUCCUGUCUGAGGAAAGUUUGGCCUUCUCUUGGCUGAAAAGUUUCCCCCAGGGCGUCUCUGUCCACUGUCACUCACUGAGCCCUAACCCUUGAGGACAAAGAUUCCUCUGCCACAGGGUCCCAUUCACUGCGAUAUCCUCAGCAGAUAAACUAUGACUGCUUUAUUUGUUCGCUCUCUCCUUGAAAUCACUGAGCAAGAACAAGGUUAAAAGCAUUCUUCUCGAUUCAAAAACACUGUCUGUUUGUGAUCAUUGCACUUCCUGAAGCUGUUUUCAGCCAUGGAAUGCAGAAAAUUGCUGAAUUCCCACACCUUUUGAGUGAAAGACAGACCUUUUAUUCAUAUCUUACACCUCGAACAUUUAAAAAUGAAGACUCAAGAAAAAGAAGGAACAAAGCCGGGUGUAUCAGACGCUCUAUUUCAUUUCUGAUAUCUCUUUAAUAGCUUUACUUAGUUUUCGAGGGGAAGAAAAAAUCAUAAAGAUGUAUUUAAAAACAUUAUUAUUUUAGCCUCUGUCCGAAACGCUUCAUCUUAGCUGCUGUCUCUUUAAGGCCCCCCACCCACAAGCGUAUUUCUUCUGAUUGGCCACCUCUCCAGGAGGCCAAAGGAAGAAUGACCCAAAACAAAGCUUAAGAAACAACUUGAGAUAGUGUUUACUUUUUUAUGCGUUGAAGGUGAUUGUAAAGGGAUACAGCCCUCUAACUUUGCGUAAUUUUGGUAAAUGUAAAACAAAAUUAUUCAAUAAAAAAGUUAAAAAAUAUAUCUAUAGAUUUUUUUCGAAGGCGUUUGUAUCAGGUUUGUACCCUGCUUGAAGUGAUAUAAGUGUGAAAUUAAGGUUAAGGGUUGAUCUUGGCAGGUUGAUCGACACAGUGUUUCUUUGCUGAUUCUGUUUUGCACAUGAGUCAUGCCCCCCAACUGUGGAUUAAUUUAUUAAUUAAUUUUCUGUCUGAUUGAGUUUCUUUCCUGUGAAAAAUGUAACUGCAAAAACACAUGCAGCACAUCAUAUCGUAAUGUCUCAAAUCAUAUAGUUUUUUAAUAGCAUAUAGUUUCACAUCAUGCAUUGUCCUUUUGAAUCUUGCCGUAUUGCAUAGUAACCUAUCAAACCAUACAGUAUUGUAUCAAAUUGUAUUGUUAUUAUUGGUUUAUUUUGUAUUACAUUAUAUUGUGUACAAAAGUGCACUGUAUCUUGCCCUAUUAUAUCAUAACGCAUUGUUGACAACUGAAUCUUAUGGGAUUUAAUUGUAUCAUAUUGUUUCAUUUCAUAUUGUUUGGUAUUGUACCUUGUCAGUAUUAUAUUGUCACCUAACAUGUUGUAAUGUAUUUUAUUGUUUAACAAUUAAAUCCUAUUUUACUGUUUUAUAUUGUCAUAAGGUAAUGUUUUUUCAUUAAUGCAACACAAUAUAAUUAUGUUGUAUUGAUUUUAGGGGGUAUAGUUUAUCACUGUAGCUGACACAUGCUGUAUUGCAGUUGCUUAAAAGCAUUAAAAAUAACUGCAGAGGUUAUUAGUCUUUUUGAUGGUGGUCUUGUUUGUUAGGUCAUAAAAGGGCAACAUUAUUAAUUUCAGUCCAUUUAAUGUGUCAAAUGUAGAACCUUUGAAUUGCCUUCACUUCACACAGUAAUGUAUGUGAUGUACUGUGUGAAUUUUUGUGGGUAGUGGGCACAUCUGUCAUAUGGAAGUGUAGUGUUACCUCAUUUUGUACUCACUAAUUUCGCUUUUACACCCUCUAUACUCUUUAACUAUGACAGAAAGCUUUCACAAGGCUCUCAGUGUUCGUCACCAUGAUGUACAGUUACAUAAUUAUAAUCUUUCUUCCAUUACACCGCUUUAACAGCAAUACUGAUAUCUCAUACUAAAGACGGAGCACAUCUUUUAUUCCCUUUUCAGUCUUUUCAUCAAAGGAGCUGCAAGAACUGAGCCGAGCUGCCAAGGUGAGACAGAGAGCGGACAUUGAGGAGAACAUCUUACAUUCCUGCACCAACUUUAAUUUUCCGUGAAUCAAGCCCAUCUGUUUAAACAAUAUGCAAUUAGCAUCAUUUAACAGCUAUACUUGUUAAAGUGAUUAGCCAGUGUUUACCAUAAGCAACAUUUUGUACACAAGAUAGCGGCGCUCAUUUGCAUAUGCUAAUGCUUGGUAAUUAGCCAUGCUCCGUCGGGUAAUUUC